rnacentral:rRNA from 1 species
AGCGAACGCUGGCGGCAGGCCUAACACAUGCAAGUCGAACGGAUCCUUCGGGAUUAGUGGCGGACGGGUGAGUAACACGUGGGAACGUGCCCUUUGGCUCGGAACAACUCAGGGAAACUUGAGCUAAUACCGGAUGUGCCCUUCGGGGGAAAGAUUUAUCGCCAUUGGAGCGGCCCGCGUCUGAUUAGCUAGUUGGUGAGGUAAAGGCUCACCAAGGCGACGAUCAGUAGCUGGUCUGAGAGGAUGAUCAGCCACAUGGGGACUGAGACACGGCCCAAACUCCUACGGGAGGCAGCAGUGGGGAAUCUUGCGCAAUGGGCGAAAGCCUGACGCAGCCAUGCCGCGUGAAUGAUGAAGGUCUUAGGAUUGUAAAAUUCUUUCACCGGGGACGAUAAUGACGGUACCCGGAGAAGAAGCCCCGGCUAACUUCGUGCCAGCCGCCGCGGUAAAAC